UUUUGGGGUCUAUGUCCAAGCCCUCGACAGUGGAGGUGCAUGAUCCCAUCCAAGCUAAGAACAAGGGCAGUGGCAAGCGGUUGAAGAGUGCAAGGGAGA